CCCUUAGAUGUUCUGGGCGGCCCGCGCACUACAAUGGCGUGUGCAGCGAGUGCCGAAGUAGAGGUUUCCGAGGUAUUCUUGCAAUGCUCGUUUUGAUGGGGAUAGACCCUUGCAACUGUUGGUUUUGAACGAGGAAUUCCUUGUAAGCAUGGUUUAUCAUCCGACGCUGAAUGCGUCCCUGCCCUUUGUACACACCGCCCGUCGCUCCUACCGAUGAGUCGUCCGGUGAAGUUCGUAGACCUCGUGAUCGCGGAUCACUGGGGGAAGCAAAAUGAACCUCGCGGUUUAGAGGAAGGAGAAGUCGUAACA
rnacentral:rRNA from 1 species